rnacentral:rRNA from 1 species
UACGGGAGGGGCAAGCGUUGUUCGGAAUUACUGGGCGUAAAGGGCUCGUAGGCGGCCAACUAAGUCAGACGUGAAAUCCCUCGGCUUAACCGGGGAACUGCGUCUGAUACUGGAUGGCUUGAGUUUGGGAGAGGGAUGCGGAAUUCCAGGUGUAGCGGUGAAAUGCGUAGAUAUCUGGAGGAACACCGGUGGCGAAGGCGGCAUCCUGGACCAACACUGACGCUGAGGAGCGAAAGCCAGGGGAGCAAACGGG